CCCGCCCCGCCCCGCCUACCCUCGUGCAGGUAACAGAGGCGGGCAGCUUGCGUCUCCUCGCCUCGCCUGAGUCUCGCCACACAGCGCCGUUCAGGAGGAGGAGCAGAGCCUCGGCGCGCACCUCACCAGGCCACAACAAGCGCUGACGUGAUGAGGACGGCCACCAGCACCCGCCUCCUCCCGCCAAGGCCACGACCAGCACGACCGACCCAGCCACCCACCAGCAUCCCAGCAUCCCUCCCGCCGCCUCUCCGUCCAGCCUCCCGCCCCGCCACGUCCCGCCGUCACACACCUCAACGUCCUCACCUGCAAGACACAACAAGACGUCCCGCCCGCCACUAAGCGUCACCCAAGACAAUAACACGUUUAAUAUCCUAUAACCAACAUCCUUCCCCUGUCCCCCGUCCUCCUCCUGCUUCCUCUCGGCCUGGCUGCUUGGGCGUCUCUCGUCUUCCAACCACCACUCAGAUUUUUUUUGUUUUUUUGUGGCGAGAAAGUCAAGUAUCUCGAAGCUUUGAAAUGUUUAAGACUUCCACGCGAAUUUUCAUGUUAAAUCAAUUUUCUCCACAUAUCAGAAACAUUAAGUGCUACACGAAUCACUAAAUAUUUUCUUUUAAGUGAUUGCAAGCCUUGAUUAAUGCAAAAUAUUGUGGAGGCUGAGUGAAUGCAGCCGAUGUUAUCUCAGACACCUUGAUAUAUAACGUAUAAUCAAUUGCAGUGGAGAUUACGUUAAGUUUUCCUUGCAUUUACAUAUCAAGAUCAUGCUCAAUAGCCCUAAAGACUUGUAAUAUGUAAGAGUCAAAGCAUGAAGACAAAACAUUUACCGGAGGGCCUGUGAGUGAUGGUUCCCAGGUGGAGAGGCCGUGCCCGCGCCCCCCGGCCUAACACAGCCCCUAACACCCUACUAACACCAACGUUAAUGCUCUACAUCUACCCUGUAGAUCCGAAUUUGUGAGAUAAUUGUUAACAAAUUCGGUUCUAGAGAGGUUUGUGUGGGGCAUACAUGGCAACUGUCUAACACACAUUGUAGUUUUAAGUCCACCGGUGUGUGAUGAUACCUGUGAUGUAGUGUGUAGUUAACAGAGCUGUAGUGUGUGUGUGUGUGUGUGUGUGUGUGUGUGCGCAUGUAUGUAUGUAUGUGUGUGUUAGAAUCAGGAUGUGGGCACUGCAGCAAAAAACAAAAAAAAAGAUAGAGAAAAAAAAAAGGUUAGGCAGGUCGGGAGUGGCCUUGUAUCCAUGAACACCUCGGCUCCCCUCACCUGCCCAGAGCCUCCAGGCCGCGGCGCAAGGCAAGACGCACCCGAGAAUCUUGCUGUCAUGAAGCUGAUGAGAAGGAGCGCUUGUGGCUUACCCGGAGAGCCUAAGUGUUAACAACCGUCGUCAGAGAACACCACAAUUACACCUUUUACGAUUCUUUAUUCACACGCCUGAACCGCAAAAAUGUAACAGGCGUAAACGUUAUAUUAGACAGGUGGAACACACUCGCACUCUCUCCCUCCCUCUUACACACAUACACACACGGAGGCAUAACACGACUUAGCGCACAACCACAUCUCAAAACCGGAUUUCCUUAAGGAGGGGGGGGGGGGGGGAGAAAUUACAGUCCGGGAACGAGCAGGACUUCCAUAAUCUGUCUCGACCACGUAAUCACACGGACAAACUCCCUGACAGUAACAAACGAUCGUCUUGUUGGCCCCGUCUACACCUGGAUGGCCCUUCUUUUAUUAACCGGCGCAGGUUCACGAGCGAGGAACCACAAUUACGGAACCAAGUACUAAACAAGCGUCGGGUUUUUGUCUUAAGUGGUUUCAUUGCCUUAACCUCUUGGCCGCGACGCUACGAGGGAGAUAACUUGGGUCUAGAGGGAGAUUGCAUGGUAAUAAUGUUAUGACGAGUGAGUGUGUGUAUUGACGACUGAAGGAUAUAAUUGAUUGAAAAUGUGAGCUUGAUAAAAUGGUAAUCGUGAGGGCAAUGAUAAUAAUAAUAAUAAUAAUAAUAAUAAUAAUAAUAAUAAUAAUAAUAAUAAUAAUAAUAAUAAUGAUAAUACACUUCAAACUUUCAAUAAAUACAGCAAACUAAAAUACCAAUAAGAAAUGCAUAUCUAAAACCACAUAGCUCGUGUGUGUGUGUGUGUGUGUGUGUGUGUGUGUGUGUGUGUGUGUGUGUGUGUGUGUGUGUGUAUACUUAAUUUCUUGUAUCCUCAGAAUUAUGUGAAUUUAAUAUCUUUCUUUUACAGAUAUGUGGAGACAGUUUUGUGUAACGCAGCCUUUAGUGCCUCUGUGAUCAAACAUUUUUUCAUUGAUGUUAAUUUUUGAGGCUGUUACUUGAUUAUCGCAAAAGUUAUACAUUCUUUAGUUGAACACAUGCACGCUAGUUCUUGUAAAACCAUAAACCAUGUUAUUUUGUUCCUUUACUUUCUACUCUUACGUUACUUACCGUUGCAUAGUGUGUUGCAUGCGGUUAAUGAUGUAAACAGAGAUAUUUUAUGUUAGUUAAUAAUGCACAGACAGAGAUAAAAGGGAAAUUCCGUGUUACAGAGCAAAGUUAACAAAGGAGACACUCGACGAAGUUUGGCGCAUAUUUAUCCCUCAGAAUGGAAAAAAAGCGUGGGAAGGAUGCGUCUAGACGUCUUAUUUAGCAGCCACCUGUUGACGAGGAAACAUUACACCUGAGUGACGACAUACAGGUGUGGGUGGCCUUGCACAGGUGUGUUCAUGAAUGGCCGUGACCCUUGCAGAUCCCAGACACGUUCAUGAGAGAUUAAUUUAUUACGAACCGAAUGAUGAAGAUUACAUUAAUGUUGUGACUGCAAAGAGUAAUUUAUUUUAAUGUGACGCUUUUAUACUGAAUGAUGAUAACAAGUUGAUAGCCACACUGGAAAAAAACGAGCAUACUUUUUAAUGAAUAACGAUAAAAACUAUGGCCAUUACUUUAUUUAAAUGUAUAAAUCAUUAAUGUGGCUUUUGCUAAUAAUGGUAGUGAUUAUCUUCGGCAUGAGAAAGGCAAUAUUUCAAAGCAAUAAACAACAAUAACACAACAUUAAUCGUGCUGAUAUACUCGUAAGUUUGAACCACUGACGUGAUUCUUUAAAUACGUUAAUGAUAAUAAUUCUUAGUAAGAGGAAGACAGCUGGUUAUUUUUCCCUCUCUAAAUCGCAUUAUCAGGACACCUCUCCUCCCGAAAUUGACCUAUAUUUCGGCCACUCCUCGUGACUCUAUGUAGGAGCAGUGAGUAGCGGGCUUUUUUUUUCAUUAUUAUUUUUUUCUUCUUUUUUUUUGCCCUUGAACUGCUUCUUCUACUGUAUAAAAAAAAAUCGCAUAUAGUUAAUAACAAAAUAUAAGAAAACGCACGAGACAAAGGAUGUAGUACACUCCCCCACGCAAACUAAUUGAAAUGUUCUCGUAUGUAUCUCCGUAACAAGAGGGAGAUAAGAGCAACGUACCAUCAACCUCUUAGCAUUGAGUGCCUUAUCUUUACCCUAAACUUACGACCGUUCUUCAAGACAGCAAAACACAGACGUACACCCAAACAAAAACCUAACAAUAAGACUCUCUCAGACUAUCUACAUCGAGUUAAGAGGAAAAUCACCCUGCUUAAUAUGUGUUUCCAGAGCCAAAGGUUGCGGGGAGACGGAAACUAAUAAUGUGUCUUCAAGGGCGACGGGAUAAUGACGGUGCUUCAGCCUCAGCGAGCGGCCGCGAGUCUGCUCAUUCGGAGGGAAAUUAUAGACGGCGUUUCAAGUCUCGUGUAUUUAGUGUUUUUCUCCGAAGGCUACACGGACAGCUUCGUGAUCAAUUCUGUCCGUCGUAAAUACUGAAGCCUUUCCCGUACCGGUUUUGAUAGAGAGUUACGAGUGAAUACAUACAAAAAAUAGAGGUAAUUAAUAGCCUUAGAAGCGUUUCCAAUGUUCUAUUCUUAAUAUUUCAAAGGGAUAAAUCAGCUAAUAAGGAAAUCCACUCAGCCUUACACUUCAUAACUCUUCUUUUUUUUUUUCAUUCUUUUUGCCCCAUUAAUUUAUCUAUGCUUUAUUUUCAGGAAUAUUUAUAUGCCACAAUAAAGUAUUUUCUCCCCCUCUA